UGGACUGUCGCAGCUUACCAUGCAGUCGAGCGGGUGAGGUUGCCUCGGUAACUGAGCUAGCGGCGGACGGGUGAGUAAUGCUUAGGAAUCUGCCUAUUAGUGGGGGACAACAUUCCGAAAGGAAUGCUAAUACCGCAUACGCCCUACGGGGGAAAGCAGGGGAUCUUCGGACCUUGCGCUAAUAGAUGAGCCUAAGUCAGAUUAGCUAGUUGGUGGGGUAAAGGCCUACCAAGGCGACGAUCUGUAGCGGGUCUGAGAGGAUGAUCCGCCACACUGGGACUGAGACACGGCCCAGACUCCUACGGGAGGCAGCAGUGGGGAAUAUUGGACAAUGGGCGAAAGCCUGAUCCAGCCAUGCCGCGUGUGUGAAGAAGGCCUUUUGGUUGUAAAGCACUUUAAGCGAGGAGGAGGCUACUUGGAUUAAUACUCUAGGAUAGUGGACGUUACUCGCAGAAUAAGCACCGGCUAACUCUGUGCCAGCAGCCGCGGUAAUACAGAGGGUGCGAGCGUUAAUCGGAUUUACUGGGCGUAAAGCGUGCGUAGGCGGCUUCUUAAGUCGGAUGUGAAAUCCCUGAGCUUAACUUAGGAAUUGCAUUCGAUACUGGGAAGCUAGAGUAUGGGAGAGGAUGGUAGAAUUCCAGGUGUAGCGGUGAAAUGCGUAGAGAUCUGGAGGAAUACCGAUGGCGAAGGCAGCCAUCUGGCCUAAUACUGACGCUGAGGUACGAAAGCAUGGGGAGCAAACAGGAUUAGAUACCCUGGUAGUCCAUGCCGUAAACGAUGUCUACUAGCCGUUGGGGCCUUUGAGGCUUUAGUGGCGCAGCUAACGCGAUAAGUAGACCGCCUGGGGAGUACGGUCGCAAGACUAAAACUCAAUGAAUUGACGGGGCCCGCACAAGCGGUGGAGCAUGUGGUUUAAUUCGAUGCAACGCGAAGAACCUUACCUGGUCUUGACAUAGUAAGAACUUUCCAGAGAUGGAUUGGUGCCUUCGGACUUACAUACAGGUGCUGCAUGGCUGUCGUCAGCUCGUGUCGUGGAGAUGUUGGUUAAGUCCCGCCACGAGCGCAACCCUUUUCUUAUUGCAGCGGGUAGGCCGGACUUAGAUACUGCAGUGACACCUGAGAGCCGGACGACGUCAGUCAUCAUGCUACGACAGCUACACGGCUACAUGGUCGGUACAAGGGUUGCUUAC
rnacentral:rRNA from 1 species